UCCCUCCAAAUCCGUCUUGCC
rnacentral:siRNA from 1 species